GGGAAUGUAGCUAAGUGGUAGAGCACUUGCCUACCAUGCAGGAGGCCCUGGUUCAAUCCCG
rnacentral:tRNA from 1 species